rnacentral:lncRNA from 1 species
AAGUGUCGGAAAAGGUAUUUCUUUUGAUGACGCAGGUGUAUCUACAGAAGACAUACUCAAGGAAGCAGUUAAGGAAACUGAUCAGUCCAGAACAGCUGCCCAUGAAAAGGAGGAAGAUACUAGUCAUGAAGAAGAUGAGGAAGAAAGGACAGCUGAAGUGAAUGACCUUCCACCAGCCUGGAAAUCUUCAAAAGACCAUCCUAUCGAUAACAUGUUGGGAGAUAUUUCAAAGGGAGUAAUG